GAGGAAUAUUGGUCAAUGGGCGCGAGCCUGAACCAGCCAAGUAGCGUGAAGGAUGACUGCCCUAUGGGUUGUAAACUUCUUUUAUACGGGAAUAAAGUGAGCCACGUGUGGCUUUUUGUAUGUACCGUAUGAAUAAGGAUCGGCUAACUCCGUGCCAGCAGCCGCGGUAAUACGGAGGAUCCGAGCGUUAUCCGGAUUUAUUGGGUUUAAAGGGAGCGUAGGCGGGUUGUUAAGUCAGUUGUGAAAGUUUGCGGCUCAACCGUAAAAUUGCAGUUGAUACUGGCGACCUUGAGUGCAACAGAGGUAGGCGGAAUUCGUGGUGUAGCGGUGAAAUGCUUAGAUAUCACGAAGAACUCCGAUUGCGAAGGCAGCUUACUGGAUUGUAACUGACGCUGAUGCUCGAAAGUGUGGGUAUCAAACA
rnacentral:rRNA from 1 species